CGCGACUCCCCCUUUGUGAACCAAACUUGUUGCUUCGGGGGCGACCUGCCGACGAACUCGUCGCCGGGCGCCCCCGGAGUCUUCUAAACACUGCAUCUUUGCGUCGGAGUUUAAACAAAUUAAACAAAACUUUCAACAACGGAUCUCUUGGUUCUGGCAUCGAUGAAGAACGCAGCGAAAUGCGAUAAGUAAUGUGAAUUGCAGAAUUCAGUGAAUCAUCGAAUCUUUGAACGCACAUUGCGCCCUUUGGUAUUCCGAAGGGCAUGCCUGUUCGAGCGUCAUUUCACCACUCAAGCCUGGCUUGGUAUUGGGCGUCGCGGUUAUUCGCGCGCCUUAAAGUCUUCCGGCUGAGCUGUCCGUCUCUAAGCGUUGUGGAUUUUUCAAUUCGCUUCGGAGUGCGGGCGGCCGCGGCCGUUAAAUCUUUAUUCAAAGG
rnacentral:sRNA from 1 species